AUAGGGGGGCCUACUGUUAGGGCCGUUGUUGGCCACAACCCAGAGCCCAACGAUUUUUUUUUGCAUCCCACGACUGGCAUUUUUGGACCGUUGGUUGAUCCAACGGUCCAGAUUCAAAUUUUGUUUUUUUAAAUGUUAUUUUAAAAUACAUUGAAUCCAACGGCUGAGAUCGAAUAUAAUCAAAUCUAACGGUAAAAUAAAAAAAGAUAAAAAAAGAUAUAACAGUCCAAAUUUAAAUCCAACAGCUAAAAUAAUUUUAAAAAAAAUUAUUUAACUCAAAAUUCACCCAAAAACUCUAUAAAUACCUUUGUAUUUGUUCAAACAUCCACACAAAACUCAAUUUUCUCCCACAAUUCUUCCAUUUUUUCUUUCUACCAUUUCUUUCCAUUUCCAAAUUGUUCAACACGAUCCUUGAAUUGGCCAUCCCAAGCAGUAAGACAAUUCUUCCACUCCCAAAGCAUACAAUCGAGACUUCCUAUCAUGUCAGGAAAGCCUAUUUUGUCUGCUUUGAGUAGAAUGUGACGACAUGUCCCGAAUUAUUAUAUAUUUUUCUCCCUAAGUGUGUAAAGUGACGGUAAUGCCCUCGUGAUUUAGUGACGUGGAUGUACAUAUGUAGUUUUAAAUUAUUAUUUCUAUUGUCGUAGUUAAAUUGUACUCGACGCCAUGAGUGUGUUGAUGUGACCUAGGGCUAAAACAAAUUCGUAACGAAGAAGUUACGAACAGACGAGUGUGUAAAUGCGUAGAAAUAUAUUUUUAUGGGUUGGCUAUACCUUACCCACCAAUCACCUUAAUUCCUGAUUUCUUUGGCCUAAUUGAAUUAAAAAUAUCUCUCAUUUUUCCUUCUGCCCAAUCACGCACAUACACACCAUCACUCUCUCUCUUCUCUCGGACCUUCUUCUUCUUUCUUCUCAUUCCGUACACCCGAGCCACCCUUACCUCACAAUCAUCAUCAAAACAUUAUGGAUCGAAUUGGAAAUCACUACCAUCGCAGUCACCUCGAUCCCACGAACUCAUUGAUACCCUUAGGUCGAGGAAUAGACGUCGGGAAUUCGAGAACUCGGGAGCUCUGGCGAGGUGUAUUUUUCUACUUUGUGAUCGUGGUCUUUUUCUAUGGUUUAAAGGCUUGAGGUGGGUCCUAAUCAACUUUAUAGGGACCCUAGAUUAGUUUUGGAGCAGUUUGAACGUUGGAAUAGGUGAGAACAUGGAGUUGCAGGUUGGCCGGUUGAUCCAAGCCUUACUCCGACCACUUUCUGUCGGUUUUAGAACCUCAAGUAGGUAAGAUUGUAUUCUUCUAGUUGAGAGUUUCAAAUCCAUAUAAAAUUCAUGGAAUUUGGUUGAAAAAUGAUGAAGAUAUUAAAGUUUUAAGAUUUUUCCAAAAAUCAGCGACACAAACGGCGCCCGACGGCCAGCGAUGGAUUCCGACAAAGCCAUCGGAGAAGGAGGAGAAUAUUAUGUCUAACUUUGACAGAAUAUACUAACAGCGUCAGGUAACUCUAUUAGUUUUUAAACAAAAUAUUCUACUAUUUAAUGAAAUAUUCCCUAACGCCGUUAGGGAUUCCGUGCCUGCACGUGCCGGCUUAUGAGGGCGCGUGAGACGUCAGGAAAUUAAUCUAAAAAUAUUGGGGUGUUCGAGUUGUUGAGUAGGUCAUGUUGGUAUAUUCAAACACCCUAUUUGAGCAACGUAUGAGAAGUUAUUCCUAGGGUUUGUGUAUGUGCCUUAAAAUUAAUGUAAAAUUAGUUAUUUCGCAUAUAGGUGAGACUUACCCGGAGGACAAACGUGGUCAAACGAGACUUGGGGGCUACGAUCCUACUACUUACCAGUGAGCGGGCUUUUUUUUUCUAUAUAUAUGUAAAUAUGCUUAUGAAUCCCAUAAACUACUUUAAAUGAACGUAUGUUUUAAAUGCCAUGUCGUGUGCAUUAUGUGUUAGUAUUGCAUUAGUAUAGCUAUGCAUAGUAUUGGAUGAGACUGCGCAGACUCAGGUAAGUUUCAGGUGAGUACAUCAUGAUGGUAUUGGGUGCGUGUGUGUGGUUAUACGUUGAUGCAUUUUGAGCUUAUUAUCCUGCACAUUGGUGUUAGUGUUCUCGCCCAUGGCCAGGGCAUAGUUUUUCACAUGAUGUUCACCUCCUGGGCCGCACGCUCACUUUGGAUCCAAGUUUGGUGCACAGCCAUAUUGCACAGACCACAAUAGGUGGUUCCGACUCGUAGGUGACCUGCAAUUAUUUGCACAGCCUUCACGUGAUCGUAGCACUUAAGCGUACUUAUCUACACCCAGCCCUGUUGUACAGACCACAAUAGGUGGUUCCGACUUAUGUGCAUGCAUACUUGAUGAGCUAUAGAUUCAAUUGUACAGGUUACAUUAGGUGACUCCGGUUGGCAUACUAUUUUAGGUUGAUUCGUAUCACCUGGCUUACACAUUUUAUGGUUGAACAUCUUGACAUGGCAUACCUCUGUUUUCACUGCUCUAAGCAUUAUCCUUAUGUACCUAGUUGUUAUUAUUUUCUGGAAAAUUAUAUGGGUUUACAGUGAGGGGUUAGUAUGUUCAUAAAGACAACUGUGUUUUCAAAAACUUUGUUUUUGCCUACUCACAUUUUUUGUUUUGCACCCUUUCAGGUUCUAGGUAGUUGGUCAUCCUUGGUGGCUCACGAGGACUUUCACGGCGGUUCUGACAUCUCUGUAAAUAAGUAGGGAUUUUUUUCCCUGUUUGUAUAAUUAGUACUUAGUUGGUUCGAUUGCACUUUCGUUUACCCAUGCUCUGAUAUUUGUAUAACUUGCUUGGUCAUCUUUACUCACUUAUAUUAUCUUAGUUUAGAUAAGUUUGGUUUUAGGUUUUUAUUUAUUCGCAUUUCUUUUAUUAUUACUUCUGUUGCGCAUUUUGGCUACGUUACUCUUACGUGACGGGCAUCAUGUUUCGACUUCGGUUGGGGUGUGUCAUAAAAGCCUCUUCAAGUCUUCAUGAUUUGGCUUGCAGAGAUAUGUGGCUCCAUAUGUGGCCUGAAUUGCCCCACAGAAGCGCUCCAGGUUUUUAAUAGCAGUAGUCUCCGCAAGUCGGCAAUACUCAUCAGUUGAGUUUGCAGAGCACUCAUUAGCUAGCAUCCGAAAUGCAGAUGUGAGCUUCUGAUGAGGUGAUAGACUUUGUCGGCCUACGACAUUUAUCUUCCUUGCAAAGUAGUGGUCAUGAUUGACAACUGUGUUCAAGAUGCUUUCAAAAAUCUCUCUCCUCAUUCGAAACCGUCUCCGAAAAUCAUGAGCAGGAAAUCUCGGACGCUCAAUAAAAUAAUAUUUCAUCAUUCGGUCAUGACACUCUUCUCUAUCACGUUGCACAAAUGAACGCUUCGUGACAUAACCACAAUAGCUAGAUUCGACAUGGUGCUCAUAUUGCAUAAGCGAGUUUGGAAGUUUAGCUUAUGCGUUGAUCAUUUUUGAAUCCUCAAUGUCAAGGCUUGCUUGGUAUUAUGUCAUUUGCAUUGCCCUGCUACACCUUCUUCUAUCAUCCAUUGUUGAUAUAUUGAGGAUUUUUAUGAAACAAAAACACUUUGAAAGUUGAAAGAUUAGUGAAUAUAGGGAAUGAUUGAAGGUUGAAAGAUUGUGUGACCAACUGAUAUUGAACAUGUGUUUAUAUAGAGGAUGAUUGAUGAAAGUUGAAAGUUUGGUGAAAGUUGAACGGUUGGUGAAAGUUGAAGAUUUGUGAAAGUUAAAGACUUGCUUUGUGGAAAGAUUUAGUGAUUUUUUCAAUAUUUAUUGGAAUUUAAAUAUUUUUAUAUUAAAAUGUUCAUAAAAUUAAUUUACCAUAGGCUACAUAAUUUUUUUUAAAAGUUAAUUUAAGAAAAAAAAUUAGCCUAAGUUCAUUCUUUAAUAAUCCCGAACUAAAAUUUUAGGCUAGGGUUGGAGCAGAAAAACUGUUUCUGUGUUAAAAGCUAAAUUUUUUAGAUUAAAAAUUUUAAAUUUUAACCCAAAGGUUGGAGAUGAUUUAAGAAUGGAUAAACUUAACCAAGAAAAGAAGAAAAAAGAUGAAGGGCAAAUAAGUGAGAAGCAACAUGACACGACACACGGACGACCAUAGCAAUAAAGCGUGCGUCCUCACGUCCAUUGAAUAUAUAGAUGGGAGCUACAACAUCGUGUUUCACGUGCAUGUGUAUUAUACAUAAAGGCAUAUACAGUGUUAGCUUAUAUAUUAUAAAGUUUGUAGGCCACUUACCCAAUUUGGCAUAUGUUUUAUCUUUUUACGUGAAUAACCAAUGUGUUAUGAUGAUACAAGUCUCUUAACAUAUCCGGAGUUAGAAAUAUCAUAAGACAGUGUUGCGAUCAUAUUGAAAUUAAUUGACAGUUUGUAUUAUAUAUUUGAUUAUUCUUUAUUAACUUAAGGAGACAGCAUACUUAGACCUAAUUUAGUCACAUUCUCCAACCGAAAAUAAAGCGGUGUAGUAUUCAUACACUUUUUUUUAUUUCUUACACAGUCUUAAUUAAUUUCUAUUGUUUGAUCUUCUUCAAUUCAUUCGAUCUGACGACCGAAAAUUAAGAUGGUGUGUGGACGAGUAAAUUAUAACAAUGGUCCCUCAACUUUAAUCAAAUUGGAGCAAGGGUGCUCAACUAAAAAUCCAUUACCAUUGGUUCCUCAACUCAUCAAAAUGUGUAGCUAUGGUCAUUUUCGUCAACUUCGUUACAAUUUUGUCAAAAUAAGUUAUAUUGGAAUGACUAUUGCUACAAUUGGGGUCCCUCAACUCAUCAAAACGUGUAGCUAUGGUCAUUUUCAUCAAUUUCGUUAGAAUUUUAUCAAAAUGAGUUUUGUUGGAAUGACCAUUGCUACAAUUGAAUUAAAGUUGAGGGACUAUUAUUUCAAUUGAGUUAAAGUUGAAAGAUCAUUUCUUCAGUUGUAUUAAAGUUGAAGGAUCAAUGGUAAUGAAUUUUUAGUUGAGGGGACUAUAGCUGCACGUUUUAAUGAGUUGAGAGAACAAUAAUAAUGAAUUUUUAGUUGAAAAACUAUUACUUCAAUUGAGUUAAAAUUAAGAAACAAUUGCUACAAUUUUUUUAUAUGGAAAGUGGAUGAUGUGAAUAGCACAUCCAAAAAUAAAAGGGAACUUUAACGAAAAGCACCCGGUACUGUUCACUUUAACGAAAAACCACAUUUUUACACUAAAAAGUCAAUCCUGGUACUAUUCACUUUACCCUUUAUUUUGUCCUUAUCAUUAAAACUCAAAGUUUUCAAGCCCUUUUCAUUAGUUUUCCUAAAAUAAAAUGCACCACAAUUUGGUAGGAUCUUCCUGUUGAGAGUAAUAAAUUAAUAAUUGCCGAAAUAUUGGAUAAUUUGUCGGCCACAACGCUAUGAGGGAGUAUCUGGGGAUGAAUAUACUCUUGCCGACAGAUGCCCAAAUUCCAACUGCCAUUCAAAUGAGCCCUCCACCACCACCGGCCAUAAUAAAUUCUCUUUCUUUAGUGAAGAAGAAAAAGAGGUACUUGGCCCUCACCUCAACUUUUUGAGAAAGAACAAGUUUAUCGCUAUCAGAAUGUUUCGGUCAAUUAUAUAAGUUAUGUGUAAAUUUUUCUUUAGAUAACAUUACAUUAUUAUAUUUAAAAUGUUCCGUAACGAUAAAUUUGUUUCAUACAAAUUAUUCUCCAACUUCUUGGAUUUUUCUCCUUUUUCCCGAAAACCAGCUUAUAUUAGUGUUCAUCCUCUGUCAAUAUCACUCGCCCACAACUAUUCAACUAACUUUUAAUAAUUUGACAACGUGUCAUAUUUUUGUGCAAAGCGGGCCCAUUUUUGUGGGUGAUAUAAUAAUGGCGUAUGUGGUUUGUCAAGACAUAUACUCAUUUAUCCAUUAGCAGUUAGGUAAGUCACCUCACUCACCCACAGCCUAACACAUCAACAAAUAUUGCUUACAAAUUCUAGAAAAUUCGACCAAGAAAAAAAACCAAAUGCUCGCAAAUUAAAAUUGUGUAACAUGAUUAGUUUUUUAUCCAUUAGUAUUAAUUUUACGUUGGAAGAAAUUCCAAAUUUAUUCUUGUAAAGAGGGAUAUGAAAAUACUUUGUAUGUCUAUCACCAAAAUCUUCGAAUGUUUGAAUGGUUGAUUUUCAAGUCUCACACAAUUGGAUUUAGUUCAAGUGAGAAAGAAAUACACUCAAACUAUUAGAUAUGAGGAAUGAAAAUACACUACAAAAUCUUGUGAACAUUUCUAAUAUUCUCUUCUAUCUACUUUUUGUGAACCAAGUUUUUAUUUGUUUUUUUUUUUAACAAAAGAUAUUUUUUAUACUAGGGAAAUAAGGUGGGUUUAGCCUCAUAAUGGGCUAACAUAAUCUAGUUCAAACUUGCAUUUGGUGAGAAUCGAACCUAAAAUCUCUCACUUACAAGUGAAGAGGAAUACCAUUAGAAGUGUCAUGAAAUUAGCAGUCUUAUAUGUAAAAAAUUGAUUGACUAAAUGCUGUGUUAAAAAACAAGAUUAAUACUUGCAUCUCCCCACUUGGAAAAUGCAAAUAUUUCAUUUCUUGCAAAUAACGUAUAUCAUGCGUUCUGUUCAAUCGCAUAUUCAAAAAUGUUAAAAACAAGAUUAAUAUUUCUAUCUCCCCACUUGGAAAAUGCAGUAUUUCAUUUUUUACGAAUAACGUAUAUCCUGUGUUCCGUCCAAUCGCGUAUUAAAAAAAUGUGUGAAGUUUGGAUUAACUACACUCUUUGAGAAUUUCCUUAAAUAACCACUUUUUGAAAAUUUCUUAUAGGACUAAGUGAGUCUCCGCUGAGAAUUUCCUUAACUAACACAACACUACUUGAGUGAUAAUUUGUUAUAUCUUGAAUAGAGAAUAAAUCAGUUCCCUACUUUUGAAGGUACUAUUAACUUACACUAUAUUUGAAUGAGAACAAUAAACUUAGAAUUUAGAUGAAGGAAAUAAAACAGUUUCCUACUUUUGAAGGUACUACUCGAGUGAUAAUUUGUUAUAUCUUGAUAACGUGUCAUAUUUUUUUGCUAAGCGGACCCAUUUUUGUGGGGUGGUAUAAUAAUGGCGUUUGUUGUUUGUCAAGGGCAUAUACCCAUUUAUCCAUUAGCAGUUAGGUCACCUCACUCACCCACAACCUAGUACAUCAACAAAUAUUGCUUACAAAUUCUAGAAAAUUCAACCAAGAGAAAGAAAACCAAAUGCUCGCAAAUUAAUCUGUGUAACAUUAGUUUUUAUCCAUUAGUAUUUAUUUUACAUUGGAAGAAAUUCCAAAUUUAAUCUCGUAAAGAGGGAUAUGAAAAUACUUUGUAUAUCUAUUAUCAAAAUCUUUGAAUGUUUGAAUGAUUGAUCAUCAAGUCUCACACGAUUGAAUUUAGUUCAAGUGAGGAAGAAAUACACACAAACUAUUAUAUAUGAGGAUUGAAAAAUACACUACAAAAUCUUGUGAUAACAUUUCUAAUAUUCCUUUCUAUCUACAUUUUGUGAUAAGUUUUUUUUUUCCUUUUUUGAACAAACUAUAUUUAUCUACAUUAAGGGAGAGGAGGUGAUCUUAGCCUCACAAUGGGCUAGCAUAAUGUGGUUCAAAUUCGCCUUUGGCGAUAAUCGAACCUAAAACUUAUCAUUUACAAGUAAAUAGGAAUACCACUAGAUGGAUCAUGAAAUUAGCAGUCUUAUAGGUAAAAAAAAAUUGAUCGACUAAAUGAUGUGUUAAAAAACAAGAUUAAUACUUGCAUCUCUCCACUUGAAAAAUGUAGAUAUUUCUGUGAACACGGAAAAUUCCUGAAACGAAAGAGACAAGAACAACGUGCACAAAAUAAUAUUUUGGUGUUAAUGGAUUUGUUGGGUUACGAUCUCUUUUAACUUGAUCCUCUGAUUCGAUCUCCGUAAGGUGUUGAUUUAUGGAUGUUUCGUUGAUCCAAGGGCUGUUGAGGCUUGAUCUUAGAUGAACUGUUGGAAGUUUCUUCAAGGGGCCGUGGGCUUGAUCUUUGAAGGUGGAUUUGAGCGGAUCUUCAAGGAGCCGUUGGGGCUUGAUCUUGAGGAUGAGUGUUUCUUCAAGGGCCGUUAAGGCUUGAUCUUGAAUAACGGUGAUGAACGGAUCUUCAAGGGCUUUUGGGCUUGAUCUUGAAGAACGGUUGGAUGUGUGGAUUUGUUGAUGUUGUUGAUCCAAGGGCCGUCGGAGCUUGAUCUUGGAAGAACGAUGAACGAAGAACGAAGAACACUUUCUUCAAAGGCCGUCGGGGCUUGAUCUUGAAUUGGUGAUUGUUGAUCCAAGGGCCGUCGGGGCUUGAUCUUGGAAGAACGAUGAACGAAGAACGAAGAACACUUUCUUCAAGGGCUGUCGGGGCUUGAUCUUGAAUUGGUGAUUGUUAAUCCAAGGGCCGUCGGGGCUUGAUCUUGAUUCUUCGGGAUGAACGGAUGAUGAACAAUGAACACUUUCUUCAAGGGCCGUCGGGGCUUGAUCUUGAAUUGGUGGAAGUUCUUCAAGGGCCUUUGGGGCUUGAUCUUGAAGGUGGAUGAUUGUUGAUCCAAGGGCCGUCGGGGCUUGAUCUUGGGAUGAACAGUUGUGUGGAUUUGUUGAACACUUUCUUCAAGGGCCGUCGAUGCUUGAUCUUGAAUUGGUGGAAGUUCUUCAAGGGCCGUUGGGGCUUGAUCUUGAAGGAGGAUUUGACGAAGAACGAAGAGGGCUUUCUUGAUCCUUCGGGAUUUGCUUGAAUUUGGGAGGUUGGAUGCUUGAAAGCUUUAGAGUUUCAAAGCUUCAAGGAUUUUGGAUGUGUGGGGAGUAUUCUCUUCCAUUUUGGGAGUAGAGAAAUGUAUUUGUGAAUUGGUUUUUGAUACCUUGAUGUAGAAGCCUAUUUAUAGGCUUUGAGAAUGAAUCACCACCACAAAAUAUUUUUUUUCUUUUCCAAGCACCAUUGCCUAAUUUCCCACUUAAUACAAUUUUAAACUUGAAGUGGUAAUUUUAUGGCCUAAUUUUCCACUUAAUAUCAUUUUAAACUUGAUAUGUGCAUGCUUUGUCAUUGCCCAAAAUGAGAAGAAAACCUUGUUUUGAUCUUCAAUGAAUUGAAAUGUGCUUGCCUUGUCAUUGCCCAAAAUGAGAAGAAAAACUUGUGUAAUCCUUCAAGGGUAUUUCUUUUUAUUUUGUUGAGUCGCACACCAUGUGUACAAUUUGUAUGACACGUGGCAUAUGCCAUGUACGCCUUGACACGUCAAAAUUUUAAUGCGUUGGUGAACAUUUAUUUCACCGCAAUUUCGGUGUCUACAAAUGCCCCCACUUCAAGGUGCGUCGUAUACAUGUGCUUGUCACGUGUAGGAGAUGCGUUUUGAAGUCCCUUACUGUAGAUGUCAAUCCAAUGGCCAUCGAGGCUUGAUCUUGAAUUGGGCUGGAGAUUUCUUCAAGGGCCGUUGAGGCUUGUUCUUGGACUUUGUUUGAAAUUUCUUCAAGGGCCAUCGAGGCUUGAUCUUGAAGGUUGAAAUUGGACCACAAGGAGCUUCAUGUGGUAGAUGAUCUUUGGCUUUGGUAGUGGAUGAAUCGGCACGUAUUUGUUUUUGCGCUUUGUUGACUUUCCACAGCUUUGAUCUUGAACUGGGUUGGAGGAUUUUUUGGAUUCCUCCAAUUGUUGAUUUUCCACAGUUUAUUCUUGAACUGGAUUUGAUUCAAAUAUGGUGGACGCUUGAUCUUGAAUCGGACUUGUGAUUUCCUCAAGGGCCGUCGAGGCUUGAUCUUGAAUUUGGCCGGAAACUUCUUCAAGGGCCGUUGAGGCUUGAUUCUUGAAGGUUGACUCGAACACAUGGCAAGCAGGCACGAGGUGAAGGUGACGACUUGUUGCUUUGUUCAAUCUUUCUAAUUCACACCUGAGCAGUUUGGUCAACGGUAUGAUCUUCAAGAUUGAUGGGCUCUUCUUCCAGUUGGUGAUUUGAUCUUUAAGGAUUUGAUUCAAGGGUGGUGAAACGGCACAUGCAGCCCACAACGCCUAGCAAGUCGACCCAAGAAUUUGAGGGUUAAAACGAGUCCUCCACCCAGAGUGAUUGCAAACCUGAUGAUAUGAGAUACUUUUGAUUUUGAAGAAGUAGCGGAUGAAUCGGCACGUGCUUUGUUGUGCUUGUCUCCACAUGCUUCAAUGUAUCAUUUUCCCUUGUCUUAUCUAUUCUUCUAGCAGAAUGUAGCAUCUUCUUAAGUUCUUCAACUCAGACUCCUUCUGCUGAGCUGACUGUGCAGGCUGCAUUAUUCUCUGCUUGUUUCUUUAGGCAGAUGUGGCAGCUUCUUGAGUUCCUCAGCUCGGACUCCUUCUGCUGAGCUGAUUGUGAAGACUGCAUUCUUAUCUGCUUGUUUCUUCUGUACGUUGUCUCCACAUGCUGCAAGGUAUCAUUUUCAAUUGCCUUAUUUGUUUUCCAGGCAAAUGUGGCAUCCGAGUUUGAGUGGAGGUUCUGGCAUAUUGUUUUCUUUAUCCUUGUCUUUGUAGGUAAGAACAAGGACAAAGGAAAGGACAGGGAGAACGCAUGAUAUGAUAUACUCUUGCUUUCUACCCUGGUGAUAUGAGAUACUUUUGCUUUGGUGUCAUUUGUUUGCAGAGGUACCCCAAGGAAUAAGAAACACUGAGUGACUCGAGAGGCUUUGUUGGGAAGGCAUUCUAGGAGAUGAAGAAAGGUUCUUGGAGAUGAAGAAAGGUUCUCGGAGAUGAAGAAAGGUUAUGUAUGUCUGCCUUGCUAUGGAGGGUAAAGGUGGACAGUUAUAGGAAAUUCUUUAGUACCUGUAGAGGUACUAUUCUUUUACUCGUGUCGGCAACCAAUGUGUGAUUGAUCAGUAUGGCUUCACGUGUUUUCUUCUUUAUCAGAAAUCUUCGACAAAUUGUCCGUAAUUUUCGUCAAGCUGAGUGUGCAUGUGACAGGUGUUGACGAGGCUGAAAAAGACUGGUGCCUCUUCGAUAUCUGGGAUCGGCGCUUCGACAAAUUGCCCGUGAUUUCCGCAAAGCUGAGUUUGCGCGUGACGGGUGCUGACGAGGCUGAAAAAGACUGGCGCCUCUUCGAUAUCUGGGAUUGGCGCUUUAACAAAUUGCCCAUGAUUUCUGCAAAGCUGAGUUUGCACGUGACGGGUGCUAACGCGUCUGGAAAAGCAAGAUGCUUCUCCGAUUUCUGAGCUUGCCUCUUUGAUUUUUGAAUUGGCCUCUUCGAAUUCUGAGCUCGCCUCUUCGAUCUUUGAAAUCCCAUCGAGUGUUGAUCUUUAUAGAGGCACGCAGUUCGUUUCAAAGCACACUUGAAUUUUCGCUUGUAGAAACUCCCUUCUUGCACUUCUAAGAUCUUGAUUUGUCCGACCUCUUCUUUCUUCAACACCUUUGAAAAUGUCUGGACCCUCCGACCGUCAUUUUGAUUUGAACCUUGGUGAAGAGGUAGUCCCGUCUUCUCCAGAUAACAUAUGACGCCCAUCUUUCAUAUCCCCUACUGGUCCUCUUACCGUUGGGGAUUCGGUGGUGAAGAAUGAUAUGACCGCUGCGGUGGUGGCCCGAAACCUUGUCACUCCCAGAGAUAACAGACUACUUUCCAAACGGUCUGAUGAGUUGGCUGUUAAGGAUUCUCUGGCUCUCAGUGUGCAGUGUGCAGGUUCUGUGUCUAAUAUGGCCCAACGCCUAUUUGCUCGAACCCGUCAAGUUGAAUCAUUGGCGGCUGAAGUGAUGAGUCUCAAACAGGAGAUAUUAGAGGGCUCAAGCAGAGAGAUAAACAGUUGCAUAAGCUCGCACAUAGCUAUGCGACAAACAUGAAGAGGAAGAUUAACCAGAUGCAGGAAUCUGAUGGUCAGAUUUUACUUGAUCAUCAGAGGUUUGUGGGUUUGUUCCAGCAGCAUUUGCCUUCGUCUUCUGGGGCUGUACCGCGUAAUGAAGCUCCAAAUGAUCAACCCUUGGCUCCUCUUCUUCCUGGAGUUCCGCCGAGUGGUGUGGCUUCAAACAGUCAACCUCCGACGCCUCUCAUUUCUGGAGCUCUGCUGAGUGGUGAGGUGGCACCUAAUCGUCCUUGAAGAUCCCCUCUUGUAAAUUUGAUUUGAUUUUUUUUUAAGUAUGUAUAAUGCAAAUUUAUGUAAAAUUUCCAGAAAAAAUAAAUAAAAACGGACUUUAUUUCUCUCAAUGCAUUUGUUUUGUUUUGUUUUUGUUUUUUUUGUUUUUUUGUUUUUGUUUUUUUUGUAAAUACAUAAUAACAUAUGUAUUUAUUUAUUUAUUCUUUUGUAAUAAAAUUGACUUUCUUUAAUAAAACUUUUAUAUUUUUCUUAUUUAUUUUGAUAUGACUGAACUCGAAAUUGAAUGUUCGAGCCGCCUACGUACCCUUCCAAAGAAGAGAUCAAGCCAUAACGUAGUUCAAAUGAGUGAUGAAUUUAAUAGUGAUUUUGAUGAUGAUUUUGCCGUACACAGUUUAUGCUCUUGUGGGCCAGGAGCUUUGGUGUUGCCUUUUAUGCUCGUGCAGACCAGGAGCGUUGAUGUCGCCUUUUAUGCUCGUGUGGGUCAGGAGCGUUGAUGUUGCCUUUUAUGCUCGUGCAGACCAGGAGCUUUGUGCCAUGCAGUUUAGACUCGUGCGGGCAAGGAGCUUUGGUUCGUGCAGUUUAGGCUCAUGCGAACAAGGAGCAUUGGUUCGUGCAGUUUAGGCUCGUGCGAACAAGGAGCAUUGGUGUUGCCUUUUAUGCUCGUGCAGACCAGGAGCUUUGUGCUAUGCAGUUUAGACUCGUGCGGGUGAGGAGAAUUUGUGAAUUUUGUCAAGCACUUUUGGAGAGGCGUUCCUUACAAUCUUCAUAGCAAGGAGCCUUGACCGAGUGAUUGAAGAAGUCUUCGGGAAAGAAGUCGCACAUCGUGAUGGCAACAGACGAUCUUUGUGUCGUAAUUUCAUCAUCUUCAACACGUUCACGUUGCUUUGAAGGUUGACAAGAGCUGCUUUGCCCCCUUUCCGAUUGGCGGACUUGUGGAGGAGACGUAUGCUUCUUGUGCCAUUUCUUAGGAGUGACUUGAGUCCAUCCUUCAAGUUUGCUUGUUUUGGAGGAUGCCCCCGGCGGUUGAGGUGAAAAUUUUGUGUUGAAAGAGCCAGAAGUGAUGGUGGUAUAGUUUGACUUCACCACAUCGUCAAGAUCUAGCUCGAUGAUUCCUUUCUGAGCCCACUUUAUGAUGAGAUCUUUCAGCACAAAGCACUUUUCUGUCGGAUGACUGAUGAAGCGGUGGAAUUUACAGUAUCUUGGACUGUUGGUACGAUUCAUCUCUUCCGGCCAUCUGCACUCAGGCAAACUGAUCACCUUCUUGUCCAACAGGUCAUCCAACAUGGCAACCACAUCAGAGUCAGGGAAUGGAUAAGUCUUCUCUUUAAGCUCCUUCAAAGUGCGUCUACGCAUCUCUUGAUCACGAAAAGCUUCGGUUUGAAUCGUUUUGCCUCGUGUGGAGAUUUUGACGGGAGAUGUGUUGACUGUCAUUGCUUCCUUGGUGGAUUUCCACGUAGCCUUCUCCACCUUUGUCUCAAGAAUUUUGUCGUUCUUGUAGUCGGCGAUCGGUUCCUUCUUCCCAUGAUGGGUGAUGCUCAACUCCAUGUCAUGGGCGUGGGUGGCCAAUUCCUCGAAGGUCCGUGGUUUAAUGCCUUGAAGGAUGUAUUGCAAACCUCAUUGCAUGCCUUGGAUGCACAUCUCGAUUGAAGAGGUCUCCGAGAGCCUAUCUUUGCAGUCGAGGCUUAGAGUGCGCCAUCUGUUGAUGUAGUCAAUGACCGGCUCAUCUUUCCAUUGCUUCAUACUUGUGAGCUCCAACAUGCUUACAGUGCGGCGGGUGUUGUAGAAGCGGUUGAGGAAUUCCCGCUCCAAUUGCUCCCAGCUGUUGAUGGACUCAGGCUCUAGGUCCGUGUACCACUCAAAUGCGUUUCUUUUCAGCGAGCGCAUAAACUGCUUGGCGAAGUAGUCCCCCUCCGUCCCCGCGUUGUUGCAAGUUUUGACGAAAUGUGCAACGUGCUGCUUUGGGUUUCCUUUUCCAUCAAACUGCAUGAACUUUGGUGGUUGAUAUCCCAUCGGCAUCUUUAGGGCAUCAAUCUUCUUUGAAUAAGGCUUUGAGUACAACCCGGAGGUAUUUGAGCUCCCUUCGUACUAUGCCUUGACGGUGCUGGCAAUCAUCUCUUGCAACUGUUGGAUAGAAAGAGAUCCCAUGAGUGCCGCUUCUUGGUCUGGCUCCGGCUUCACAUCGAUUUUCUCCACCGUAGGCUCAUCUUCUGGGUUAGGGUUCUCGCUGUCCUGUGGCUCCAGUUGACUGAUGAGUGCAGCGAUUUGCAAGUCUUUUUCUUCCACAGUUCGGGUUAGCCUUGCGAUUGCUUCAUUCAUUUGAGCCAGUUGUUCUUCGAUGGAGGUAACGCCGAUGGUCAUGACUUGUGCAACCAAUAGACGUGACUUUCCUUUAGACAUCCAAGAUGCUGAAGAAGAACGUCAUUGGUUGUUUUGGGAUGUCAUCUUGUGUGCCUCAGCAACAUGCUUUGGUGCCCCCAGCGAGGUCAGGUUGAUGACAGACUCACACCUUUGAUGCUCCCUUUGCUCUUUUAGCGGCACCAACUUUGAAGUGGCAUGUUAAGGAGCGGUUGUGGUGCUAAUGGAUUGUCCAUUUGCGGCAGAAGUGCUUAGGAUCCUUCCCUCAGUGAUUGCGAGAACGGCUUGUCCCUUGCUUGAUGCCAUUGAUUUUGAGGUGUGUUUGGAUUCCUUAAACGGAGAAAGAUAUGAGAGGUAGAGAUUGUCCCACCGGGCGUGCCAAUUUGUGAACACGAAAAUUUCCUGAAACGAAAGAGACAAGAACAACGUGCACAAAAUAAUAUUUUGGUGUUAAUGGAUUUGUUGGGUUACGAUCUCUUUUAACUUGAUCCUCUGAUUCGAUCUCCGUAAGGUGUUGAUUUAUGGAUGUUUCGUUGAUCUAAGGGCCGUCGAGGCUUGAUCUUGGAUGAACUGUUGGAAGUUUCUUCAAGGGGCCGUGGGCUUGAUCUUUGAAGGUGGAUUUGAGCGGAUCUUCAAGGAGCCGUUGGGGCUUGAUCUUGAGGAUGAGUGUUUCUUCAAGGGCCGUUAAGGCUUGAUCUUGAAUAACGGUGAUGAACGGAUCUUCAAGGGCUUUUGGGCUUGAUCUUGAAGAACGGUUGGAUGUGUGGAUUUGUUGAUGUUGUUGAUCCAAGGGCCGUCGGGGCUUGAUCUUGGAAGAACGAUGAACGAAGAACGAAGAACACUUUCUUCAAAGGCCGUCGGGGCUUGAUCUUGAAUUGGUGAUUGUUGAUCCAAGGGCCGUCGGGGCUUGAUCUUGGAAGAACGGUGAACGAAGAAUGAAGAACGAAGAACACUUUCUUCAAGGGCCGUCGGGGCUUGAUCUUGAAUUGGUGAUUGUUAAUCAAAGGGCCGUCGGGGCUUGAUCUUGGAAGAACGAUGAACGAAGAACGAAGAAGGCUUUCUUGAUUCUUCGGGAUGAACGGAUGAUGAACAAUGAACACUUUCUUCAAGGGCCAUCGGGGCUUGAUCUUGAAUUGGUGGAAGUUCUUCAGGGCCUUUGGGGCUUGAUCUUGAAGGUGGAUGAUUGUUGAUCCAAGGGCCGUCGGGGCUUGAUCUUGGGAUGAACAGUUGUGUGGAUUUGUUGAACACUUUCUUCAAGGGCCGUCGAUGCUUGAUCUUGAAUUGGUGGAAGUUCGUCAAGGGCCGUUGGGGCUUGAUCUUGAAGAAGGAUUUGACGAAGAACGAAGAGAGCUUUCUUGAUCCUUCGGAAUUUGCUUGAAUUUGGGAGGUUGGAUGCUUGAAAGCUUUAGAGUUUCAAAGCUUCAAGGAUUUUGGAUGUGUGGGGAGUAUUCUCUUACAUUUUGGGAGUAGAGAAAUGUAUUUGUGAAUUGGUUUUUGAUACCUUGAUGUAGAAGCCUAUUUAUAGGCUUUGAGAAUGAAUCACCACCACAAAAUAUUUUUUUCUUUUCCAAGCACCAUUGCCUAAUUUCCCACUUAAUACAAUUUUAAACUUGAAGUGGUAAUUUUAUGGCCUAAUUUUCCACUUAAUAUCAUUUUAAACUUGAUAUGUGCAUGCUUUGUCAUUGCCCAAAAUGAGAAGAAAACCUUGUUUUGAUCUUCAAUGGAUUGAAAUGUGCUUUGCCUUGUCAUUGCCCAAAAUGAGAAGAAAAACUUGUGUAAUCCUCCAAGGGUAUUUCUUUUUAUUUUGUUGAGUCACACACCAUGUGUACAAUUUGUAUGACACGUGGCAUAUGCCAUAUAUGCCUUGACACGUCAAAAUUUUAAUGCGUUGGUGAACAUUUAUUUCACCGCAAUUUCGAUGUCUACAAUUUCAUUUCUUGUGAAUAAUGUUUAUCCUGUGUUCUGUCCAAUCGCGUAUUAAAAAAUGUGUGAAGUUUGGAUUAACCACACUCUUUUAGAAUUUCCUUUAUUUACCACUUUUUGAGAAUUUCCAAUAAGACUGGGUGAGUCUCCGCUGAGAAUUUCCUCAACUAACACCACACUACUUGAGGGAUAAUUUGUUAUAUCUUUGAAUAAAGAAUAAAACAGUUUCCUACUUUUGAAGGUACUAUUAACUUACACUAUAUUUGGAUGAAGGUCAAACUUUAUAAAUUGACAUACACCAAAUUCUUUGUUUGGAUUCAUAAACAUAUAAAUUUAGAAUUUCCGCGUGGAAAAAAAAAAUACUUAGAAUUUGAGACCUCCAAUUCUCAAAUUGAAAGUUUAAAAAUAAUAAAUUCCGUAUUCAAUUCAAUUGUUCUUUUAGGUUAACCAAAUAAGAAAAUUCACAAAUUCUAAAAUAUAAAAUCUCAUCAUUUCAAUUUCCGUCAUUUUAAAAUUCCUUAGUAAUAUUAAAUUUCUUCAUCCAAACAUAGUGUUAAGAAAUUUUUUAAAGAUACACUAUUUACACUCAUUUUUAUUUCUUACACAUUUAUUAACUUUGUCCAUUGAUUUCUUCAAUUCAUUUUGCCAGUUAUACAAAAAUUGAGAACAGUAUUUAUGAAUUAAAAAUACAUUUGUAGAUGUCACUACCAAAUUUUUAUUCCUAAUUCAAGAAAAUCUUAUCCAUAUAUGAUUGCCCUUGCCCACUUUAAAUGGGUGCCAUCACUUUACGAUAGAGCAAUCCUAACCGUCCACCUAGGUAAGCAUAACUGGCGAUGCAUGUCGCAAGGGGACCGCAUUGCACAAUAUAAUUAUACUAGUUGAUAAGACAAGUGAUGUCAAUCAAUAAAUUAUUUCAUUAAAACUUAGUUGUAUGUAUCAUAUGUUGUAAUGUAGGGUGUAUGAUAUGCUGACGCUGUAAAAAAAUGUAACCUUUUUAAUAUUACUCAUAAUAGUAAGACUUACCAGUAUUAGGAUGUUAUCAGUGGAAUGAGAAUCCUCUCCAGAUCUUUUUUGUGAGCUAUUAUUUGUAUUUAAUUUUAAAUAUAAAAAAUUAAAAUAAUUUAUGACGGCAGUGAUUCACAUGAUCUUCACAAAGAGAAUCCAAAUAAUCUUAAUUUAUAUCAGUGUGUCUAGAUAACAUGAUCGAGCCCCUUUACUUUUACCCUAUUUAGUAUUUUACAUUUGAACCUGUAAAUAUUCGAUUUUUCUUUGGUGCAACCGAGCACCAAAUAUAGAUUUUUUUUCACUUUUAUAUAAUGAUAAAUAAAGGGCAAUUGGCAGAUUUGAAUUCCAUUCGGAUUGGUCAAAAAUCAUUUUAAAUUGUUUUAUUUAAAAUUAAACACAUAUAGUACUUAAUAAAAAUUAGUCGUACAAUAUACGAUAAACAGAUAUAAUGUAAGGACCUUUAUGAUCUUCACAAAAAAGAUCCAAAGGUUGUGUAGCUGUUUCAAAAGGAUAAUACUCACUUUUGAUUAGUUCAAUGAAAUUUUAAACAUGUUUUAUUGUUUUAAAAAAUAAUAAACAUAUUUAUUAAUGUUUGUUUUACUUUAAAAAAUAAGCAGCACUUGACAACAUUUGAUUGUGCUAAAUAAAAAAUGAGUGACCACUUAGUACUACAGUCUUAUGAUAUUUUUCUUCAUUUGAAAGUGAGAGGUUUUAAGUUCGAAUCUCGUGGAUGACGAAUUUGAUAUCAAAUUAGAUUGCUCACUAUGUGGCUUAGCCGAACUCUCAUUUCCUUUAAUGUAAAAAUAUUGAUGUAUUCAAAAAAAUAAAAAGUGACUAUAGAGGACACUCAAUCUCAGCUGUAUGAUUAAAUCAGACGGUAAGAAAAAUUCUGCAAGCAUACUCGGUUACAUUAAUUGAAGAAAAAAUGGGUAAAUAUUGGGCACCAACGUUAUAAAUACCCUCCACCAUGCACCCAACUCCCUCACACCAUCACAACCCACGUUACAAAUCCUCCUCCUCAUCAUAACCAUUCUGUUUUCCGCAUAAUAUCCAAAAACCUAUCAUGUCUGAAGAGAAACACCACCGCGGUCUCUUCCACCACCACAAGGAUGAAGACAAACCCUCAGACUACCCUCAGUCUGGCUACUCUGAUGAAGGACGUCCCGGCGGCCUCGGUGGUGGUUACGGCGACACCAAUGAUUAUUCUGGUGAAGGACGUACCGGCGGCCUAGGUGGUGGCUAUGGCGACACCAAUGCUUAUUCUGGUGAAGGACGUCCCGGCGGCUAUGGCGGCUAUAACGAGACCACUGCUUACUCUGAGGAAAGAGUUGAAAGACCCGGCGGUGGCCGGUACAGUGAGACUACUGCGGCAUAUGGCAGCACCACCACUCAUGAAUCUGAACUUGAUUACAAGAAGGAGGAGAAGCACCACAAGCAU
rnacentral:lncRNA from 1 species